AGUGAACGCUGGCGGUAUGCCUAACACAUGCAAGUCGAACGACAGCACAGUAAGAGCUUGCUCUUACGGGUGGCGAGUGGCGGACGGGUGAGGAAUACAUCGGAUUCCUCUUUUUCGUGGGGGAUAACGUAGGGAAACUUCUGCUAAUACCGCAUAUGUCCUACGGGUGUGAUCAGGGGUUCUUCGGGCUUUUCGUGUUUGUAAUAGCCGAGGUCGGAUUAGCUAGUUGGCUGGGUAAAGGCCUACCAAGGCAACGAUGCGAAGCGGAUCUGAGAGGGUGAUCAGCCACACUGGAACUGAGACACGGUCCAGACUCCUACGGGAGGCAGCAGUGGGGAAUAUUGGGCAAUGGGCGAAAGCCUGAUCCAGCAAUACCGCGUGAGUGAUGAAGGCCUUCGGGUUGUAAAGCCCUGUUGUUAGGAAAGAAAAAAAGCAGGUUUAUCCCCGGCUGUUCUGACGGUACCCAAAGAAUAAGCACCGGCUAACUUCGUG
rnacentral:rRNA from 1 species